UACGAAGGGGGCUAGCGUUGCUCGGAAUUACUGGGCGUAAAGCGCACGUAGGCGGAUAUUUAAGUCAGGGGUGAAAUCCCAGAGCUCAACUCUGGAACUGCCUCUGAUACUGGGUAUCUUGAGUAUGGAAGAGGUGAGUGGAAUUGCGAGUGUAGAGGUGAAAUUCGUAGAUAUUCGCAGGAACACCAGUGGCGAAGGCGGCUCACUGGUCCAUAACUGACGCUGAGGUGCGAAAGCGUGGGGAGCAAACAGG
rnacentral:rRNA from 1 species